CAGCCAGCUCCUUGUAAGAAGAUAGCACUCCAGAUGAAUAUUUGGAAGGACAGUGCAGUACAGUCAUUGACAAUCUCAUCUUUUGGCUAGGGCUUUUGCAGAACUAAUGAGACACCAGAUGGCUGGAUGGCACUGAACUUUAGAAGACGAAUAAAGAGUAAUCGUGGAAAUUAUCUUCUGAUAAAUCACAUUACAAUCCCUGGGAAAAUAAUGGAAAAAUACCAGGCUGUCUGCACAGCAGAGGAGCCAUCUGUAACCACAAAGGACAACUGCAGGAUUUAACUCAGUAAAGCAGAUGAAGG